rnacentral:sRNA from 1 species
CUUUUGCAUGCCCCACAAACUUUCAUCUUAAUGUCACACAUUUCUAUUCUAUUUUUUAGUUCUGCAACAAAAAUAAUGUAUAUAAAUUUCAAUUUUGAAAAAGUCUUUUUUGACUUUUAUAAAAGCGUUAAAUAGUAGAUUCUACAAGCUUGGAUAGUUAGCACAUUUAUUAAUAGUAUACAAUUGAUCAAACUGACAAAUGCAUUACAAAUUCUAAUAACUGUUAAGGAAAAGGUAAAAUUUUAUUGGAAAAGCAUCUUUUAAUGGGCUGGGUGGAUUUUUUUUUCCCCCUAACUAGUUCAAGUAUCCUCAGAUGAAUAUUACUUAUUGUUGAAAUGAAACAGGGCUCAGCAUCCUAUUUUUAUGUAUUUCUAGGUAUGAAUGUCUGGAAAAUCUUGUUCACUAAAAAAAAUUGAAAUGGAAAGGGUUUUGUGAUAGCAACAUCAUUCAGUCCUCUGAACUCUUUGAUAUAUGCCAGCAAUACAUAGUGUAAUCUCAUCAAUUUGUUUUAAUAAACGUUUUAUUUUAGAAUAGUGUUAGAUUUACAUAGCGUUACAAAGAUAGUACAGAGAGUUCUUGAAUAUUCCUCACCCAGUUUCCGCACUGUUAACAUCUCACAUAACCGUGGUACACAUGGUCACAACGAGGAAAUCAACACUGGUCCAUUACUGUUAACUUCACCAGUCUAUUUUCUGAAGAUCUAUCAGCUAUUAACUCAAGUAGGUAUUGCUUCAGUUUUGUUGAAAGCACAGGAUUAAGAAAGUCUGUUACGCAGCCUUUCCUGUUCUUGGCUGCUGAAAAGUAUAUCAAAAAUGGCUUCACUAAGAUUUACCAUAUAAUUGUUGAUUAUACCUGUUUCUCUUUCACUCAUCAAAUGUUAAACACUCAAUAGGAAAAUCAAAAUAGUGAUAAUUUGUAAUGUAUAUUUGCCAGUACUAUAUUUCUUGAUAAAAUGCUUUUUCUCUUUAUUUAUAGCAUAACCUUGGAACUUCAGAUUUAGCUCACUAAAUUUAGGAAAAAUGUUUGCCAUAUAACCUAAUUGCUAAAGCAGCCCUUAUUGUUAAAAGCCAUUAGCAAAAUUAGACCUUACUUUUCAUUGUAAGUAAAAAAUGUUAAUAUGCUCAUGUUAAUGUAUUUGAAUCCUAAAUAGGCAAAUGGAUAGGACACAGGCCUUGCCCAGAGUUCAUUCAGAUUUAUCCUUCAGGAAGGCAUGGCCAUCUGUAAUAUUUCUCACCCCUUCUUUCUGGAUUUCCUCCCACUAGACCCUCCCUCAGGAGUGAAGUACUUUUUAUUAAUAAUUUGGGGAAGGGAAAGGUGAGGUGUCUAAAUGAAAACCAAUGUUGUUCUCACUAUCCUUACUCUACAAUUUAUUUGAAUGCAGAAAAUCUCCAAAUUAGCCAAAGUAUCCAUUUCUAAUACAGGCUUUGUCCUUAAUAGAAAUAUGCCAAAAACAUGCAUCCCUACUCCCACAGUGGUGUGCCAUAUUAAUAUUUACUCUGGGAAGUGGGAGGAAGGUAGUUAUGAAAGGAACUCUGGCGUGGAACCUUGACCACAGGUGUAGAUCCUUCUUAGGGCAGAUCAGUUGUAGGAAAAUGUUAGGAAGUAGAGGAUCCGAAAGUUGGUUUCUUAAACUCUCCAUGUCAUGUACCUCUCUCAGAAGAUCCUUGGGAACUCCAGGGCAUACAUAUUUCAGUCUUAAUAAUGCUGAGGAAGAAGCUGAAGACCAAGCCAAGAACCAUGGGUCAAGGGGUCCCCAGGGAGACAGAUGGUUCACCACAGCCACCACAUGCUUCCUUCUCUAACACUGGCUUUAAUGAAGGAGGGUGGAAGCGAGUCUGACCUUCUGGAGUCAGGAAGGUUAGAGGGUUAUAGUCCUUAGUCUGCUUUUUGAGAAUUAGUGACCUAGAACAGUUUUUCUUCUUAAGCUUGAAUAGUAUUACAGACAUCUAGAAAGGAAAGACACUUAAAGAUCCUUAAUUAAGAGACAUUUACUUGGUCUGAAUUUAUGAAAAUGGUUCUAUUCUAAAUGAUCACUGUAAAGUGAAGUUUUACCUUUAAGUGACUGGUUUUUUUUAAGAUCAUAAAGUGAUUAAAAUAUAACUUAACACACGCCAUAGAACUCUUGUACCUCAAAAUGAGUCUGAGCUCCCCCUUGGAGAAAUGCUGAGAACUGGUUGUGGUUUAGUUUCCUGUUUCCCCUUGGGUGUUAUGGGUGAGGCUUGGGAGCUGCUUCUCUGUUAGGAUGCCUGUGUCCAUGUGGCCCACAUUCUGACCCUUCCGUCUGUGCAAGAAGAAGCAGGGUGAAGUCAGUAAGGCAGCCAGCGCCGACAGCACGACCGAGGGCACACCUGCCGACGGCUUCACAGUCCUCUCCACCAAGAGCCUCUUCCUUGGCCAGAAGGUAGGCAGAUGCGCGGCCUCAGUCUACUCGAGGGCCCCAAGGGACAGAUGGGCACAGGCCACCUCCACUGGAAGGCUGGGGGGGUCCCGGGGGCCACUCCCAGCCUCGUGGGUAGACAGAGUGGGCUGUGAGCUUUGGGAGUGGCCUCAGGGAGGGCUAAGUGCUGGGGAGGCCACAAUGCUGAGGGAGGACCCUGGCAGCUGGGGAAGGGAGACAGUAGUAAAAAAGAAGAGGGCAGGAGGCUCCUGUGGGAGAUGGGGACCCUUGGUUAGUCUGGAGGAGGAGCUGCUUCUGUGGGAUAAACUGGUCAUCAGAUAGCACCAGCCAGGGAACUAGGCAGAAGUCAAGCCUUGGUGGUGGAAGGUGAACAACCUAGCCGGCAGCCUGCUUGUCCUGGGGGGCACUAACGGUAGAGCCUCAGGUCUGAUUCAGGGCUCUACAGGGGAUUGUUUUCAGACUGUACUGAUGGGUGCACUGGGUUUCUUCACUGAACCACCAGAUGACUCUUCCAGCUAAUCGUUUGUUUGUUUUAACCAUGGGCAAUAUAUUUUCAGCCGCCCCAGUGAUGCAACUUUGCCAGGACGCCAUGGUUUUGUAAAAGACAAUUCACUUUUAUUGAAAAUAAAAAUGAUGCAAAGGCUUUUAAGACCUGAGAAUGAGAGUUAACUAAUAUUUCUUUAUUGACACCAAAAAAGGGGUGGGAAGAAAGAAUUAAACCCUUCUUAAUUUUUUAAUCCUAUACUUAAAAAAUUAAAGGAAUGAAUUUGACCUUCCAAGUUAAUCUGUGUUUAGUUUGAAUGUGGUAACAAACUUGGAUCUGAAGCUGCAUCAUUUUUAAACCCUCACUGUCAAUUUCUUUUGCAUCACAGUGACACGGUUCCCUCGCUCACGUCAUUGCAAGUUCUCCUCCUACCCCUUUCCCUCGUUCUGUCACUAAUUGCACUCUCUCUCAUGAUGCAAUUCCUGUGGUGGACUCUGUUCCAGAAAAUAACCAUUACUGUUUACAUUUUUAACCAUUCUUUGUAUUUUGUAUGCAUUUUUCAAAAGAAAAAGUAGCACUAGUUGUCAUCUUAAGGUCUGGGGAUUUGAAAGUUUUUGUUUAAAAUACUUUUUGUUCCUUUAAAAAUUUCGACUCAGCAGUGAAGACAACUGCCUGGGUCUACUUUCACCCCUGUAACUUAUUCCUUGGGUAAUGUAUUGAAAGUUAACGUGACCCAUCCACAUUACUUCCGUUUGAAAUACAGGGCAGUUCAGCCCCUGGGGUCACCUUCUCCCUCUUUUCCCCACUCUGCCUUUAGGCACUCCCACCCUGGCCUCUCCCCUCCCUGUGUUCUUGCUACCUCCUGCCAGCCACUCCAAAGGCAGCCUCAGAUCAGAAUUCCUCAUACCUCCCUUGCUGGAUGAACUAAAAUAUUUCCAAAGUAGCAGCAAAUAUGGCUGUAAAAAUGUCCAUGCAAAAUGCAGAUGCCCUUCUUGUUGCUGUGAUCUUCUGAAAGAAAUGGGAUCACAGCCUCCUCUGGGCUCUGUUUGUGAGCCCUGGAGGGGAGGGGGCAAAGGCCACAGACAUCUUGCUAGCUUCUCCCAAGAGCCAGGAACAUGUCAGCUCUCAGCAACUCAACUCUUCCUUUUCAGAUACACCUGCUCUCAGGGCCAGGCAUCACACGAAUAAAAAUAAAGUACAGCAGAGUAAAAUUUUGGCUAAUAAUGACUGUUCCCUACUCAGAGUUGGUAGGGUGAGGAUAUAAAAAGCCAUAGAAAAGUAUCGAUAGUCUAUAAUAAAUUACAAACAUAUCAUUUAAUGUUAUUUUAAAAAAUGGAGAAUGAAAGCAGUGAGCUUAGCUUAACAGUGAAAUUAAUGUGCUUAUCUUAACUUUUGGAAGGAAAAUUUGAAAGGAAUGGUUAAGCUGCAACCCAGUAUAAAAUGGUCAGCCAUAAGAGGGGCUGAAUGUAGACCCAGACAGACCACCUAGCCUUCUUUCCCAUAUCACCGCCUUUUCAGUGGUGAAAACAAAACACCAGGCUACCAAGAAACUGCCCGUCCUGUUUAAUGUGCUUGCGACUUUAUGACCCAAGAUUCACAUAUCCAGGAAGAGGUGCCCAAAAAUCUAGUGCUGCAGACACUGUUUAGCAGAAUAAACUCCAUGUUUCCAAAAUAAAGCAGCAUCUUAAGUCAGCCUAAGCACCAGUGUUAGAAACUAGGGUUCCAACUGCCCUUUCUGGAAUCCUACACCCCUGCAGCAUGAGAUGGAGUGAGCGUUGAUACAUUAGAGCAUUAUUUUGAAGCAUUACUUUCUGGCUUUUUAUUGGCUAUUACUGUCAGAUGAAAAUCAUGGCAUAUAGUGUAAAAAAGGCAAAUCAUGAAACUAACACAGUUUUUACAAAAGCACAUUUAAAAUGUUAUAGACAUUAAUUUUGACUUGGAUUUUAGGAAAUGUUUCAAAAGGGGUACUUUAGAAUGGUGACUAUAUGGUACCCUGUGUCCUAUGAAUCUCAUUUUUCUAUCUGUGACAUUGAAACCAGUGCUUGAAGAUUGCAAGCAAGCUGGGGUGGAGAAAGGUGAUAUUGUGCAUGCUACAGCCCUGUAAGGCAUGGUUGCUCAGCUACUCAGGAAGCAUGGCCCAGGCUUAGGAGCCUGACCAUUGAUGUUAAUGAUGUAUUUCACAUACUGAAGUCUCAGGAGUCAUCAUAGCCAUUACUCCCUGAUUUUGCCCAGUAUUCACACAUAUUGUUGAAUUGUUUUAAAAAAGAAAUCAGUGCUGUGAAUCUGAGUCAACUAAAUGCUUUUGCUUUGUGUUCAGCCAAGAUUUGCAGCCUUUUUUCAGAGGUUUUAAAAUUUUCAGAAAAAACAUUUCUAAUGUGUCUAAUGUGUCAGUGGUAGUAAAUGAUUUAAGUUUUCUUGGUAGAGUCAGUAUUAUUUGAAGGAGUUGGGAAGGCAUUCUGAGGCUGUGAUGAGUCUCCUUACCUCCCAAAUGAUCAAGAUGGCAACCCCAGCUCGCAGUCCAUUCAAGGCAGGCAUAACGUACCAUGGGUUUUCUCCCUUUGAUCCACAUACCCUUCUCCUGGGGGCUGGAAGAACUGUGAGGAGAAAGGGAGCUCUUGAAGUUGAAGCAUCAGUGAGGGAGAAAAACCAUUCACCCCUUUCCCCCACUAUGGCUGAGGACUGGCUUCUGACACAGUUUAGGAAACUGACAAAGCCAUGAAGGAAUGGCUCAGCUAUCGGCCAUCUGGACAUCCAGCCGUAUCUAUCCAUGUCCUUAUCUUUGUGGGGCUCUUCCUAGCUGGACACACUAGAUUCUGCUGCCAGGCCCAAGGCCUCUGGAGAAAUCCAGGUUGGGCAUGCAUGCAUGCAUGCAGGGAGAGCCAGACAGCACAGCUGUGAAGGCAGGAGCCAGCCCUGGAGUGUGCCCCAGGGAAGACACAGCUCUCAGGAGGAGACUGGAAAGGGUCCUAUGGAAGACAUUGCCCUUCCCAUUAAACUCGUUGAAGUGAACUUUGGGGACAGGAAAAUAACUGCAUUUUAGGUGGUCAGCCAGGCUUCCUUCCUUGUCUGUUAUGAGAAAAUGAGAGACACCAGAAUCUGACAGUUACAGGCUAGAUUUAACAUACUACUCAGGCACUAUUUUAACAGUCACUUUCAUUAACUAAAAUUGGGUUUCUAAUCAUAUUUUUUUAAAAGAACCAAGAAGGAAUGUACUAUUUCCUGUAGCCAAGUAGGUCAGGUCAGGCAGUCUGCAUGUCCAUCCAGACACUCCUUCCCUGUCGUCAUCGACAGACUGCCUCCUACCCUGCCCUAAAUGGUGGGGGCCAGCCUCCCAUCCAGGCGAGGACAGCUUGGCUCUGAGCUGCCUCAGAUACAAGCCAGGCCCAGGGCUCAAUUUCUGAGCUCUGACAUUUCCAUUAACCAUGCCUUAAAGGAAAGCAGGCAGGGGCAGUCAUUUUAUCUGAGUUAUAUCUGAGGAUGUUUGAUGUUCAGUUGUAACUCUACAUGCCCAGGGGAACCCCAGCACUGGCUUAGGCACUGUGCAGCACUCAGGGUUAGGGGGCCACACCCACUCUUGCCUUCAAAGAGAUUAUACUCUGAUGAGCAUAUACCAUGAGUAAAGAACAAGGGUUUCCACGGACAUCCUCACCACAGGGAAGACUCGGGUACUGCUUGUAUCAGAAGCUGGCCCAGCAGAGCCAGUGAGGUUAGGAUCAUCAGAUCCCAGUGCUGGAAGGGAUCUUGAAGGUCCCUUGGCUACGACCCUGUCUGCCAACUGCGCAGCCACGCAGGACCCCCUCCUGCUCUAUAACUGGCAGUGCCCUAUGGUUACUUUCCUCAGUGGCUAACCGUCUUCAUAGCUGCUUUAAAUUCCUCAUGCUGUGGUUUAAAACUUAGUUUUCCAUCUUUCCUGACGAUGGUACAAAGAAGCAGUCACCUUAUUCAAAUUCUGAAACUAUUAAUGAUCCUUAUUCCUCCCAGAAAAUAAGACUAAUUUUGGGAAUUUUUACAGUUCCCAGAAAUCUGAUUUCCUAACCCACAAGGACCACUUCUCUGCCAUGUACUUCAGAUGGACACACACCCCUCUGGCUGAUAAACCCCACUGGAUCUGACCCUGGCUGGUGGGAGGGGACCCUGGGGCCUCCUAGGACUGGACCUCUGUCUUGGCUCUAUCUCGCUUAUUCAUUUGUGACUGGACAGUGGGAGCCUGUCAAGACACAUGUGUACCUGGUCCAUCUGCACGCUAUGCUCAUGGGCUUUCUUCUGUAUAGUGGAGCUACUGUCUUCGUUCAUGAUCAUCUCACUGUUGGCUUCUGCCCACUGGCCCACCUGCCAAGCUGAUUACCCAUUUGUCCUUCCAAAGUACUUGAAUUAAUUUGUCUUCUCCCCUUCCCAUUCUCUUCCCCUGAUGCACACAUCCCAAGCACACACUUUCUAGUCAAGAUUGUUUAAAAAUACAUAUUUGUACACAUUUUAUAGCAACAAAACUUUUGUGGCUCAGCCGCAUACCCUGAGGACUUCUGCUGAGCCCCAGUGCAUAGCAGAGCAUAGUUGGAAAAUCACAACUCUAGCCUCAUCCACAGAUGUGAAGAGUGAAACAGCACUUGGUUGGCAGGAAAUCCUCAAUGCUGAGUAGUAGUGGCUCCCUGAGGUACUGUAGUCUGCACUUCCAAGAGUGGGGAUGCCUGUGGUCAGAAGGGAAGGUAGUGAGUCCAAAGGAAGCUGGGAAUUCUCCAUGAGCUUGAGUUCUGUUCACAACUGCUCCCUUCCUUCAGCAAAUCCAAGUUUCCCCCAGAGAAUCCCAUUCCCCUAGACAGAGCAGGUGGUUCUCCCCAGAAGAGAGUCAGAUACAGGCCACUGAGGGGGUCUUCCUGGCUAGCUGAAGCAGAGCCCGCCAAAAUAGCUACUUUUCCAAUGAAGCUUUUCUGAAUAUAACACCAGAAGCAUCUAUACAAUUGGAAAAAAUUGUGUGAAUUUUAAGGAUUGAACAUGUAUUGUUUUAAACAUAGGAAUUUAUAGAUGCCUUAAAAGCAUACACAUCCACAUUACACUGAGUAGAUCGAGUCUUUUUCUCCUUUGCCUGCCUUCCUCACCAACCUCCUGCCUCUUCACACUGUGUGGCGUGUGUUUUGGUGGUGUGUGGUGGGGAGUAUUGGCUUGAGUUUUUAUAAAUAGCAUUUGCUUGGAGCCAAAUGCAGAACUAAAUAAUAGAGUAAAAUCCUUUGCCUUGUUCUAAAUCCUGAGAGUUCACUUGCCUUACCCUAAGGCCCCCCACUCUGUGCCCGCCCACACCCCUCCUCCCCGGUGGCAGCAGUCAGGCCGCAGCCCCCAGGCUGUCUCUUUUCUGUGCCUCUGUCCUGGUGCCAGGGCUCUGAGCUGCUGAGAGCUUCGCUUUGUGAGAUCACCCCCAUGGCUUCCUUCAGCUUCAAGGGUGUGGGUGGCCUCUAAAUCACUCUAUAGUGCGAGGAGCAAUAACCCAGAAAGUCCAUAUGACUAAUACUUGGUCCUCUUCUCUGAGUCUUUAACCAAAAAUGAAGUCCACUGCCCUGGCCAGAAUUCUUCCUUGGCUGUUUGACAAAACUUAAUUCCACAACUGUUUCCUCCCAGAGGAUGACUCUUAGUGUAAGCACAUCCCUCUUUGAGAAUCUGACUGUUUCUGGGACUCAAAAAUGGGGGUUUAUAUUUCCGAUGCUUCUGGAGUGCCAGGUUGUUUGGUUUUGUUUUCAACAAAAUGUUUGGCCCUAGAAAUGCAGCAACUUGCCCUGUUGCCAGGAGCUUCCUUGCCAAGUGUCUUGUGCACAGCCCUCUCCUGGGUGAGCUCCUGGACAAAGCUCCAUGCCCUGGUAAACCCUGCAGACUGCAGCCACUAUUCUGGCCUAGGUCAUAGUCUUGAGCACCAGCUCUGCUAGGGCUACUCAGGCAUUGCACUUGUCUGCAGGUGUUAGGAAUUUAUGUUACGGAAGAGUGAGCAAUGUCGUUGUGAGAGCAUGUGCAAGAGCAAGCUUUCCUGCAGGUGCUCGUACCUAAAGAAAAGCAAGGGGAAUAGCAGGACCCGGGACAGCAGUCCUAGGCCCAUUAAUUCCCCUUGCCCCUCUGACAGAAUUUCGAACUCAGGAUUCUUCGAAUACUCAGAUGCCAGGGUUGCCAUUGUAACAGAGUAACAGUGGCUGGGGGACACCCAUUCAGUGGCUCUUCAGAAAGAACAAAUUCACUGGGUGGAUAUAACACUUAAGGAAAAUGCUCAAUAAGCCACCCAUUGAGUCUCAGAGCAACCUGACCAACAAGGUGAAAACCAUUUAAAAGACACAUUGUCUUGCUGGAGAACCUUCCUCCCCUGGGUUUCACCAGGGAACUUCAGCAUUACAUGACUAAUGGGCACGUAAAUUAGAUGUUACUAAGCAACAGACUAUUCUCACUUCUUGCCACCCUGAGCAGGGCAGGGAGGCCAGCCAGCAGUCACAGUGAUGGGGACAGCCUUAAAGGCCCAUAGUCACUUGGAAGACAAUGGCAGAGCCCUUAGAGGUUUGCCCAAGCCAGGUAGGAUGUUAGCACCAGCCUAGCACUCAAGGAUGAGGACAGUCACAUCCACCAGCCCCCAACCCUCAGCAAUGAGUACUCAUUCUAGGUCCUGAUAGCUGCCUUACUUUGGCCCCCAGAUCACAAGUCCCUUUAAAGGAAAGCUGAUCUCCUCGUCCACUGUAGCUUGUGCUUUCUUUUGUCCAAGGUGCCACCCACAGGCUCUGAACAUUCAUCCUAGUUUGCUUGCUCCCGCAUCCCGAGCAGCAUUUGAGUCUUAUGUUUGAAAUGGGUUCAUUUGAGCCAGCAACUCCCUGCUUCCCUUUUGUGCCUCGUGCACUUGGAGUGUCCACUGUCCUUUACCUGUAUCCCAAGGCUCCUUCUCUGAGACUUCCCAGCUCUCCUGUUAUUUCCCACCUCAUGCUUUUCUUUGCAGCUGAACCUUAUUCACAGUGAAAUCAGUAAUUUAGCCGGCUUUGAGGUGGAGGCCAUAAUCAAUCCUACCAAUGCUGACAUUGACCUUAAAGAUGACCUAGGAAACACGCUGGAGAAGAAAGGUGGCAAGGAGUUUGUGGAAGCUGUCCUGGAACUCCGGAAAAAGAACGGGCCCUUGGAAGUAGCUGGAGCUGCUGUCAGCGCAGGCCACGGCCUGCCUGCCAAGUUUGUGAUCCACUGUAAUAGUCCAGUCUGGGGUGCAGACAAGUGUGAAGAACUUCUGGAAAAGACAGUGAAAAACUGCUUGGCCCUGGCUGAUGAUAAGAAGCUGAAAUCCAUUGCAUUUCCAUCCAUCGGCAGUGGCAGGAACGGUUUUCCAAAGCAGACAGCAGCUCAGCUGAUUCUGAAGGCCAUCUCCAGUUACUUCGUGUCCACAAUGUCCUCUUCCAUCAAAACGGUGUACUUCGUGCUUUUUGACAGCGAGAGUAUAGGCAUCUAUGUGCAGGAAAUGGCCAAGCUGGACGCCAACUAGGCUGAGCAACGACAGAACCAACUGCACCAUGUACCCCACCUCCAGUUUAAAAGAAAAAAAAAAUCCCCUUCACUCCUACUGGGAGGUGGGACCCCUUUCAUUUUCAGUUUUGCUCAUCUAGGGAAAAUAAGGCUUUGGUUUCCAGUUUAAUUGUUUUUGACCUUCUAAAAUGUUUUUAUGUUAGCACUGAUAGUUGGCAUUACUGUUGUUAAGCACUGUGUUCCAGACCGUGUCUGACUUAGUGUAAUCUAGGAGAUUUUAUAGUUUUAUUUUAAUGAAACCCUGAUUGACGCACAGCAGUGGAGAGAACAGCGUCUUUUACCUGUCACUGAAGCCAGGAAGCCCCGUUUGUAACCGUGUGUUGUGGUGCUUUAUCGUACACCCAGUGGCGUUCUUUUUACUCUAAUGUUCUUUUUGUUUCCACCCUCAGAAGAAUCAUGAAUUUGCAACAGACCUAAUUUUUGGUUACUUUUUGUCUUAUUGAUGGAUUUGAAAAUGAAAGAUUUAAUAAGGCAAAGCAGAAUCUGUUGUCCUUAAUUAUAUUUGCAAUUUGGAAUUUGUGUGAGUUGAUUUAGUAAAAUGUUAAACUGUU